GACGAACGCUGGCGGCAGGCUUAACACAUGCAAGUCGAACGAUAAGCCAGAGCUUGCUCUGGUGGACAGUGGCAGACGGGUGAGUAACGCGUGGGAAUAUACCUAGUAGUACGGAAUAGCCUUUGGAAACGAAGAGUAAUACCGUAUACGCCCUUCGGGGGAAAGAUUUAUCGCUAUUAGAGUAGCCCGCGUUAGAUUAGAUAGUUGGUGGGGUAAUGGCCUACCAAGUCGACGAUCUAUAGCUGGUUUGAGAGGAUGAUCAGCCACACUGGGACUGAGACACGGCCCAGACUCCUACGGGAGGCUGCAGUGAGGAAUAUUGGACAAUGGGGGAAACCCUGAUCCAGCCAUGCCGCGUGAAUGAAGAAGGCCCUAGGGUUGUAAAGUUCUUUCGUCGGUGAAGAUAAUGACGGUAGCCGAAGAAGAAGCCCCGGCUAACUCCGU
rnacentral:rRNA from 1 species